rnacentral:ncRNA from 1 species
GGUCUUCGGGGCAGGGUGAAAUUCCCGAUUGGCGGUAAAGUCCGCGAGCGCAGCACGCAGAAACCGGCGUACAGCGCAUGAUUUGGUGAAAUUCCAAAACCAACAGUAUAGUCUGGAUGAAAGAAGAC